GUCAGCGUGGUGUAGUGGUUUGACCAUUGGACUAUGACUCUGGAGACCAGGGUUUGAAUCCCUGCUCAGUCA